rnacentral:ribozyme from 13 species
AGAAAACGGAGAUAAGAAGAAGAGAUUCUGAGAAGAGAAUCACUGCAUCUUCGAUCAGAUCGGAGAUAAAAGAGACCAUUUUUUGUUUUCUUUUCUUGUUGGCUCUCUCUCCUUUCCUUUUACUUCCUCCUUC